GCUUCUACUCCACAUAUAUGGAUGGUUGUCAUCCAAUUAGGAUAGUGCACUAGGAUCCUUCUCCUCUAUGUUUUGCAUGAAGUACUUGAACUUCUCAUGUGUGAAACACUUGGCAACUGCCCACAUAUUCUUACCAUAAAGCUCAUCACUAUACCCAUUCUUCUUCAUGUUCCUCCAUUAAGUGCCUCAUGCAUUCUCUAUGUUUCACUCCUGGAUACACAUCAUCUACAACCUUCUCAAUUCCUUUGCCCGCAUUUGUACUAAUGACCAAGUUCAACAUUGUUUGUCUCAUUGGUGGGCACUCUAUUCCUCAUAGAAGGGUGGCACCUACUUUUUGUUGGUAAAAACUACAAAGGACCCUUGAAAUCACUAAUUUAGGCAUUAAUGUACACCUUUCCCUUGUCUUUAUUGAGUUCAAACCACUCAAGCAACUGCUCAACAGUUUUAAUCUCAGUAGAAGUUCCACUAAAAAUUCCUCCAAUUCAUGCCACAAAGUUAUGUAUUGUUUUGAACUCCGUGUUCAGCUAUUAAAUUGAUUAGUUGCAGCAGGUUGAAGCUAUGCAUGUCAACAACUUGAGUAGGCAAGGCUCGACCCUGUUGCCAUCAUUUUGGUGCCCCAUCAGGCAAACUGAAAAAUGACAGAACCCUAACAAAUAGAUUAAAAUUCAUGUGUUUUGCCUACA
rnacentral:lncRNA from 1 species